AGAGUAUGAUCCUGGCUCAGGAUGAACGCUGGCGGCGUGCUUAACACAUGCAAGUCGAACGAACCUUCGGGUUAGUGGCGGACGGGUGAGUAACGCGUGAGAAUCUGCCCUCAGGAGGGGGAUAACGGCUGGAAACGGCCGCUAAUACCCCAUAUGCCGAGAGGUGAAAUGAAUUUCGCCUGAGGAUGAGCUCGCGUCUGAUUAGCUUGUUGGUGGGGUAAUGGCCUACCAAGGCGACGACCAGUAGCUGGUCUGAGAGGAUGAUCAGCCACACUGGGACUGAGACACGGCCCAGACUCCUACGGGAGGCAGCAGUGGGGAAUUUUCCGCAAUGGGCGAAAGCCUGACGGAGCAACGCCGCGUGAGGGAUGAAGGCCUCUGGGCUGUAAACCUCUUUUAUCAAGGAAGAAGAUCUGACGGUACUUGAUGAAUAAGCCACGGCUAAUUCCGUGCCAGCAGCCGCGGUAAUACGGGAGUGGCAAGCGUUAUCCGGAAUUAUUGGGCGUAAAGCGUCCGCAGGCGGCCUGACAAGUCUGCUGUUAAAGCGUGGAGCUUAACUCCAUUUCAGCAGUGGAAACUGUCAGGCUUGAGUGUGGUAGG
rnacentral:rRNA from 1 species